rnacentral:rRNA from 1 species
AGGGAAUAUUGCGCAAUGGACGGAAGUCUGACGCAGCGACGCCGCGUGAGCGAUGAAGGUCUUCGGAUCGUAAAGCUCUGUCCUUGGGGAAGAAGGUCUUCGGACUUGACGGUACCCAAGAAGAAGCCCCGGCUAACUCCGUGCCAGCAGCCGCGGUAAUACGGAGGGGGCUAGCGUUGUUCGGAAUUACUGGGCGUAAAGCGCGCGUAGGCGGAUUGGAAAGUCAGAGGUGAAAUCCCAGGGCUCAACCUUGGAACUGCCUUUGAAACUAUCAGUCUGGAGUUCGAGAGAGGUGAGUGGAAUUCCGAGUGUAGAGGUGAAAUUCGUAGAUAUUCGGAGGAACACCAGUGGCGAAGGCGGCUCACUGGCUCGAUACUGACGCUGAGGUGCGAAAGCGUGGGGAGCAAACA